CACUGAUCCUGGCAACCACUAAUUCUCCAUGUUGAUAAUUUGGCAUUUGUGAAUGUUAUAUAAAUGGGCUCAUACAGUAUGUAAACUUUUGAGAUUGUCUUUUUCUGUUCAGCAUAAUACUUUUAUUACCCAUACUGAUUGUUGCAUGUAUCAAGUUUCUUUUUUAUUUUAUUAUUUAGCUGUGUAAAGUUUCAAGAGAGUAAUGAUAAAACCCAGCUCAUCUUUGGUUCAGUGACCAACAUACCAGCAAAGGAUGCAGCACCAGUGGAGAAAAUAGACACCAUGCUGGUCUUGGAAGGCAGUGGAAACCUGGUGCUAUACACAGGAGUGGUUCGGGUAAGCAAUAAGUAGCACUUCAUGCAUUUAGUAGGACUUCAGGCUGCCUGCAUGAAUAUUUGUAAUGUUACUUUAGAUUGAUAUUUUAAAUUUGUUAUGUUCCUGUCUGCACAAUUUGGCAGAAGAAUUUUGUUAAUAAUUCUCAGUGAAGCUUCCCAUUUAGGUGGGUCCUAAUUUGGAGGGCUAUGGCUCACUGCUAUUAAAUGCAUUGGUACUCUAAACCUGUCACAGAUGGG
rnacentral:sRNA from 1 species